rnacentral:rRNA from 1 species
UACGGAGGGUGCGAGCGUUAAUCGGAAUUACUGGGCGUAAAGGGUGCGUAGGUGGUUGUAUAAGUUAUCUGUGAAAGCCCUGGGCUCAACCUGGGAAGGCCAGAUAAGACUGUAUGACUGGAGUAUGGGAGAGGGUAGUGGAAUUUCCGGUGUAGCGGUGAAAUGCGUAGAGAUCGGAAGGAACACCAGUGGCGAAGGCGGCUACCUGGCCUGAUACUGACACUGAAGCACGAAAGCGUGGGGAGCAAACAGG